UGUUUACAUUGUGGGUCUCUUGUCGUCUUAUAGAAACAGUGAACGUUAUUGUGUUUUCAUUUUCGAUCGUAAAAUUGCAAUAAUUUUGAUCAUUAUCGUAUAUAAUCGGAGGUAAUUCGGGAGUCGUGGUUUAUAUUAGUGCAGGUAUUAGGCUAUACUAGGUCCUAGGCUAUACCUAGCUAGCUAGCACCCUAGGUAUCCAUUGUGCCUGAAUUCUUAUAGCUAGCCAAUGUCAUCUUUCGUUGGUAUUUAUCGAUAUUUAUUUUCACUUUUAAAUAGCUUUGCCGCUGCUUAAGCCUGCCAUAUUACACUGUUAUUUAAGCUCAAAUAAGUAAAAAUGUACAAAUUAUUGUGGAGUUUUCGCCUCACCUACCAAUUUCAGCUUGACACUGGACCUCCAGGUGUCCACGAGAAGUCACAUUCGCCAAUUUGAUCAAGUGCAUCUCUGACUUGGGGCGGAUUCAAUCUUAUGGGACCUAUUCAGUGCUAUUAAUGGCAUUUUACAGCACCCUUGACGCCAUAAACAGCAAGAAUAGGCAUCGAGUUAACAGCACUUAAAGCACCGUAACUUCAUGCAACAUCAAGUUACGGCACCGUAAGCGCUGUUAUAGCACCAACAGUGGCAAAACACCAACUUACAGCACGAAGGUGGAAUGGAUCCCCCACUGUAAGUCAAGGACCUACUGUAUUUGGUAGGUUAGUACCCCAUACUAAUGUCAAGUUUUAGAUUUAGAUUUAGUAUAUAUAGAUUUUUGGCAUUAUGUCAAGCACUGGAGCAACUAAGGCCAUUCAGUGCUGAAACAGAAAUUGACAGUAAAAGGCUUAAACGGUGUAACAGGAGGAAAAUCUCAAAGCAGUUGCACUAUGAAACAAUUGUUAGGAGAGGGUGGACAGUUAAAUUGAAAAGAGAGAAUAUGAAUGGAGGUAGAGUUAAAGGAAUGAAAGUGGUUGCAGCUAGGGGCCAAUAGGACACUGGAAAGAACCUCAAGUACUGUCUACAUUGCACCGAAUGAGGUGCACUGACGGCGCUACCCCCCUACGGGGAUACUGAUGUCAAGUAGUUAUUCAGAAUAAUUCAAGUUAACUGGUCAUGAUUUUUCCUAAAUUUACCUCAUUUACUCGGGCAUGUCUGUUCAUAUCUUUGUGAACAUAGUAAAAUUAGUUAAAAUUUAUGGAUUUCAUUUUGACGACUACAAAAAACAUUCAGGAAAUGGUUUACGUUGAAGAAUUUUAGUUGAAAGUUGUGUUGAUUGAAUGGUAGUCUAUGAUGUUGAAUGGGGAGCAAAUACAGUAUCAGAAUGAGACCAAAUUUAUCAUUAGUUUUUAAGGAACAAUAAUCCUUCAACUUUCGGCUUGAAAUCACCUAGGCUACAUCUUCAGCUAUGAUGCAUUUCGUGGAUAAAUCUCUUGCACUGGAUUUUGGGUGUUAAGUAGAGUCUAGUUGAAGCCAAGAAUGAUUUGGAUUACCAUUAGUAGUGAGAUAUCUUGAACAAUCAAGUUUAAGCUAUAUUACUUGUUCUUUCCCACUUAUCAAAAGCCCAGACCUCCGAAGAAUCUGAUUAGGUGAAUGGUUGUGUACAUACUUCUUACCAGACUUCUUGAUAUUGCUCGUUGCAAGAUUGGCCAAGAGACUAAGUUAUCCUCGAAUGAAGAAGCACUUAAUUUUCUCCUAGAGAAGUUUUGCAGUUCUAAGAAAGGCUACUGCUCAUAUGUCAACAUAAAACAUUUUUAAAGGCCUCCUAUUGGCAAUCGGCAGAACAUUAAGAAUUGUUGUGUACAAGAAAUUAGCUCUCCUAUCAAAAGUAGAGUUUUAUGC